GACGAACGCUGGCGGCGUGCCUAAUACAUGCAAGUCGAGCGGAUCACACCUUCGGGUGUGGUUAGCGGCGGACGGGUGAGUAACACGUAGGCAACCUGCCUUCAAGACUGGGAUAACUAUCGGAAACGAUAGCUAAGACCGGAUAGCUGGUUUUCUCGCAUGAGAGGAUCAUGAAACACGGAGCAAUCUGUGGCUUGAAGAUGGGCCUGCGGCGCAUUAGCUAGUUGGUGAGGUAACGGCUCACCAAGGCGACGAUGCGUAGCCGACCUGAGAGGGUGAACGGCCACACUGGGACUGAGACACGGCCCAGACUCCUACGGGAGGCAGCAGUAGGGAAUCUUCCGCAAUGGACGCAAGUCUGACGGAGCAACGCCGCGUGAGUGAUGAAGGUUUUCGGAUCGUAAAGCUCUGUUGCCCUAGACGAACAGCAAGGCGAGUAACUGCGCUUUGUGUGACGGUAUAGGAGAAGAAAGCCCCGGCUAACUACGUGCCAGCAGCCGCCGUAAGAC
rnacentral:rRNA from 1 species